rnacentral:rRNA from 1 species
GGCCGCGGGAAUUCGAAAAAAACAUAACACAUGCAAGUCGAACGGCUCUUCGGAGCAGUGGCGGACGGGUGAGUAACGCGUGGGAACGUGCCCUUUGGUUCGGAACAACACAGGGAAACUUGUGCUAAUACCGGAUGAGCCCUUUGGGGGAAAGAUUUAUCGCCAUUGGAGCGGCCCGCGUUGGAUUAGGUAGUUGGUGGGGUAAAGGCCCACCAAGCCGACGAUCCAUAGCUGGUCUGAGAGGAUGAUCAGCCACACUGGGACUGAGACACGGCCCAGACUCCUACGGGAGGCAGCAGUGGGGA